UACAGAGGUCUCAAGCGUUGUUCGGAUUCAUUGGGCGUAAAGGGUGUGUAGGCGGCGCUGUAAGUCGGGUGUGAAAUUUCGGAGCUUAACUCCGAAACUGCAUUCGAUACUGCGGUGCUUGAGGACUGGAGAGGAGACUGGAAUUCAUGGUGUAGCAGUGAAAUGCGUAGAGAUCAUGAGGAAGACCAGUGGCGAAGGCGGGUCUCUGGACAGUUCCUGACGCUGAGACACGAAGGCCAGGGGAGCAAACGGG
rnacentral:rRNA from 1 species